GGUCGUUUAGCUCAGUCGGUUAGAGCAUCGUGCUAAAAACGCGAGGGUCGCAGGUUCGAGCCCUGCAUCGACCA
rnacentral:tRNA from 1 species